UACGUAGGGUGCAAGCGUUAAUCGGAAUUACUGGGCGUAAAGCGUGCGCAGGCGGUGAUGUAAGACAGAUGUGAAAUCCCCGGGCUCAACCUGGGAACUGCAUUUGUGACUGCAUCGCUGGAGUGCGGCAGAGGGGGAUGGAAUUCCGCGUGUAGCAGUGAAAUGCGUAGAUAUCGGGAGGAAUACCGAUGGCGAAGGCAGGUCUCUGGGCUGACACUGACGCUCAUGCACGAAAGCGUGGGGAGCAAACAGG
rnacentral:rRNA from 1 species